CGUAACAAGGUCUCCGUAGGUGAACCUGCGGAGGGAUCAUUACGCAAAUAUGAAGGCGGGCUGGAACCUCUCGGGGUUACAGCCUUGCUGAAUUAUUCACCCUUGUCUUUUGCGUACUUCUUGUUUCCUUGGUGGGUUCGCCCACCACUAGGACAAACAUAAACCUUUUGUAAUUGCAAUCAGCGUCAGUAACAAAUUAAUAAUUACAACUUUCAACAACGGAUCUCUUGGUUCUGGCAUCGAUGAAGAACGCAGCGAAAUGCGAUAAGUAGUGUGAAUUGCAGAAUUCAGUGAAUCAUCGAAUCUUUGAACGCACAUUGCGCCCUUUGGUAUUCCAAAGGGCAUGCCUGUUCGAGCGUCAUUUGUACCCUCAAGCUUUGCUUGGUGUUGGGCGUCUUGUCUCUAGCUUUGCUGGAGACUCGCCUUAAAGUAAUUGGCAGCCGGCCUACUGGUUUCGGAGCGCAGCACAAGUCGCACUCUCUAUCAGCAAAGGUCUAGCAUCCAUUAAGCCUUUUUUUCAACUUUUGACCUCGGAUCAGGUAGGGAUACCCGCUGAACUUAAGC
rnacentral:rRNA from 1 species